GAUCCUGGCUCAGGAUGAACGCUGGCGGCGUGCUUAACACAUGCAAGUCGAACGAAGCACUUUAUUAUGAUUUCUUCGGAAUGACGAUUUAGUGACUGAGUGGCGGACGGGGUGGAGUAACGCGUGGGUAACCUGCCUUAUACAGGGGGAUAACAGUUAGAAAUGACUGCUAAUACCGCAUAAGCGCACAGGAUUGCAUGAUCUGGUGUAGAAAAACUCCGGUGGUAUAAGAUGGACCCG
rnacentral:rRNA from 1 species